rnacentral:rRNA from 1 species
CAGUCGCCACGGGAAUACGUAGGGUGCGAGCGUUAAUCGGAAUUACUGGGCGUAAAGCGUGCGCAGGCGGUUAUAUAAGACAGAUGUGAAAUCCCCGGGCUCAACCUGGGACCCGCAUUUGUGACUGUAUAGCUAGAGUACGGUAGAGGGGGAUGGAAUUCCGCGUGUAGCAGUGAAAUGCGUAGAUAUGCGGAGGAACACCGAUGGCGAAGGCAAUCCCCUGGACCUGUGCUGACGCUCAUGCACGAAAGCGUGGGGAGCAAACAGGAUUAGAUACCCCAGUAGUCCCUGUCUCUUAUAC